GGUGCACUGACCACUUUGUGAUUCAUGACUGGGGUGAAGUCGUAACAAGGUAACCGUAGGGGAACCUGCGGUUGGAUCACCUCCUUACCUUAAAGAA
rnacentral:rRNA from 1 species